CCCUUAGAUGUUCUGGGCUGCACACGUGCUACACUGGCAGGUUCAGCGAGCUUCAUGCCCUGAUCUGAAAGGAAUGGGAAAUCUUUUCAAAACCUGCCGUGCUUGGGAUAGAUGUUUGCAAUUAUUCAUCUUCAACGAGGAUUGCCUUGUAAGCGCACGUCACCAGCGUGCAUUGAAUACGACCCUGUAUUCUGUACACACCGCCCGUCGCUCCUACCGAUUGAAGUUUUCGGUGAGUUGACAGGAGGAUUUUUUUGAAACUGGUUCGCCAGUGGAUUUUAGAUCCAAAUGCCAACGAAUCGAUGGCUUUAGAGGAAGGUGAAGUCGUAACA
rnacentral:rRNA from 1 species